CUGAUCAUUCGAAUCAGGUGUGUUGAAGUCGAGAAGGCUCUAAAACAGGCAGGAUAUGGCUCUCGAGGAAGCGGAGGUCCCUACCCCUGCUGUACAAUAUGUUCCACUUGGAAAAGGUGGCAGCAGUUUGACCGGGAGAGUGACGUCAUGGAGCAGGUGGUCUGAAGUCAAAACCCGAGUGACGUCGCCUCGGCUAGCUCGGCGAUAGCUGUUGACGUUGGCCGCGCGAAAAUGGCCGUUUCCAGUCGACUCGACAAACAAGUCUCGAUAAAUGUACGCGUGUUUCUGACAAAAUUAAAUUUAGGCGGCUAUCCGCUCUCACUCGACAUCGCCCCCCCCCCACUCCUAACCUCCCACGUUCCUUAACCUAGCUACAUGCUAGCUUACCCUAGCGAGCCACGUUAGCACGUCGAGCUAACGAGCUACUGCCUAUUUUUCUGCAAGGGUUAUCAACGUCAUCGCCAAGUAGAUACGCGCGGGGUGGAUGCAGCAAGAAAGCCUGCAGUUGAGAGCUGCCUGCGUGAUGGUGGUUCGGGAGUCCCUGAACGCAUCGGCCAGGAAUGACACACAAAGCACACACAUCUGGAAUAGCUUGAGUGAGUGAUUUAUUUACAUCAUAUGUAGUGAUCUAUACAGCUCUAAUGUCGCCUGUUCGCAUAUUACUCCAUGUACCGUAUCUGCUGUUAUUGACAUAUUUCGUGCGCGCAUCAUAUUUUAUGUUUGAUAUACAGUGUAUAUCAAUUAUUUUAUAUA